AGUGGCCAGCCACGCACGCAAUGAUCACAGUCUUGGGAGUGACCUCACGGACAUUAACACGUAACCGAACACUCCGUGUUUGUUGCGCGUUUGUGUGUCAUUGUUUUUGUUAUUUCAGAACAAAUACUACAUACAUUACUCAGCAUUUAAUAAUGUCCACUAAGGUCCCUUCAACAACUAUCAAUACGCUUUGUCAACAAAUAAAAACAAUCAAUACACAACCUCUCCAGUUUCACUUGUUUGAUUUCUAUCAUCACAGACACAGCACAUAUUGGGUCUUAAUUAGUUUGACAAUCAGGCGAAAUUCAGUUUCAUAAGGUCUAUUUCAAGAUACAAAUGUAAAUGGAACUUUGAAGAACUGAGGCAUCAGCAUAUACAACUCUGGCAAACUCACUAACCAUAUCUCUACCAACUUCAGCAGGCGUUGGUGCUUGGCUUUCUGGUUCAAAGUUUUGUUUGGACAGGCUCCUAUCUCUUGUCCUGCUCCUUCCAACCGAUUAUGGCUAACUUCUUCUGAUUCACUCUUUUCCAAUGUGAUUUUAUAUACUCUCACACAAUUUAUGUUUUGCUAAACCAUCAGAGUUGUGAUGUAAUGCAAUAGGAUUGUGUAUAUAAACUAGCACAAGGUUUGAAAGGUUGAAUAUAAAAGGAUUGAGAGCAAGCAUAAUCUUCGGUCAUGGCCAUGUGUAGGUGUGUCUCCGUUUUGAUUGGAAGGAAGGGUAAAAUCAAGCGUACUGAAGGAUCUUCAGAAAUGGGCAUUAAAAUUUUACAGGCCAAAGUACAACACCC